UAACCCGUUCCGUGCCGAGCCAGGCCGGGAACAGCCUGUACCGCAGCAGGCUGUCCUCUCCGCUCAGCUGACAACACAUAUCAUCAACACUGCUGUGUAAUAGGCGAGCCCUGGUCACACAGACGGGAUGUGUAAGCACCGAAAUAAAAGCACACCCCACUGCCUGAUAAGACGCGCGGUGAGACGGAUUACUGUUUCUGUAGGAGACGGUAAAACCCCGCCUUUUUGUAUUUUUGUUCACCGGGGAUUUGAGCGUUUUAUGUACAAUUGCUGUAAGGUUUCUGUAACUUAUGUGAAGUUGACAGUUCCUGCUAAAGUCAUCAAUACUGUCAGAACAUUUUGGACUUUAGCAGGUUUGGAUCCACAAGGCAGAGUGUACUGGAUGGUUCUGGUGAUGGUAACAGGAGAAAAUGUGCCUGCACAGUUAAAGUGGCUCACUGUGAGGAGGACAGAGACAAUGUUGGCUGAAGGAUUAUGAAAGCUUGUGCAGGAGCAGAGCAGACUAAAGGCCUACUCUUCAGCAUGUAAAUUAGCCUGGAUUCUCUUUAUUUGUGUUGUAACCUCAGCAGUUAUGUAAUGGGUUAUUGAUUCACUAUUACUGCAGGAUGACUAAAUAGUUUGUCUUUAUAAUAAAUGCUGAGCACAGUUUAAAAGAGGUUGUUAGGGAAGUUGUUCUGAUGUUCAGAGGGUAAUGUUGUGCACCUGUUUGGAAGAAUUAGAAAACAUGUUUUUUUUUUUGGAAAGAAUCAAUCUGUUUUCUCAAAGAAUGUCUGGAUAAAAUUGUAUGUUUUAGGGCUACUUUAAGUCUUCACUUACCUCCUAACAUUUUCUUUAAUUGCUCUUGUAUAGUUUUACUUCUUCUACAAUUAAUAUAUACCUCUUUUUUUGUUUAUUCUUAUUCUUAUUUUUGUUUAUUCUGUUCUGUUCUGUAUUCUGUUGAAUUCUCAGUUAACCUGUUCUUAUUUCUGUCUUUGCACUGCUGCAACAUAUGAAUUUCCCCUCUAUGAAUCAAUAAAGCUUCUCUUCUCUUAAGAUA